rnacentral:rRNA from 1 species
UACAGAGGGGGCAAGCGUUGUUCGGAAUUACUGGGCGUAAAGGGCGCGUAGGCGGCCUGUUAAGUCGAACGUGAAAUCCCCGGGCUCAACCCGGGAACUGCGUCCGAUACUGGCAGGCUUGAAUCCGGGAGAGGGAUGCGGAAUUCCAGGUGUAGCGGUGAAAUGCGUAGAUAUCUGGAGGAAUACCGGUGGCGAAGGCGGCAUCCUGGACCGGCAUUGACGCUGAACAGCGAAAGCUAGGGGAGCAAACGGG